GACGAACGCUGGCGGCGUGCCUAAUACAUGCAAGUCGAACGAACCGCGACUAGGUGCUUGCACUUGGUCAAGGUGAGUGGCGAACGGGUGAGUAACACGUGGGUAACCUACCUCAUAGUGGGGGAUAACAGUCGGAAACGACUGCUAAUACCGCAUAGGACAUAGGAUCACAUGAUCCAGUGAGGAAAGGUGGCGCAAGCUAUCGCUAAGAGAUGGACCCGCGGUGCAUUAGCUAGUUGGUAGGGUAAAGGCCUACCAAGGCGAUGAUGCAUAGCCGACCUGAGAGGGUGAUCGGCCACAUUGGGACUGAGACACGGCCCAAACUCCUACGGGAGGCAGCAGUAGGGAAUCUUCCGCAAAGGACGCAAGUCUGACGGAGCAACGCCGCGUGAGUGAAGAAGGUCUUCGGAUCGUAAAGCUCUGUUGUUAGAGAAGAACAGCGCAUAGAGUAACUGUUAUGCGUGUGACGGUAUCUAAACAGAAAGCCACGGCUAACUACGUG
rnacentral:rRNA from 1 species